rnacentral:ncRNA from 1 species
CUGAAGGGCGCGUCCGGGUCAAUUGCGGCUUGCAACACCCGAUCUCUCUCAAUGUGCCGCCAUCGAUGGCACUCGAAGAGGGAGAGCGCGUGACCGUCAG